AGUGAACGCUGGCGGUAGGCCUAACACAUGCAAGUCGAACGACAGCACCGUAAGUGCUUGCUCUUACGGGUGGCGAGUGGCGGACGGGUGAGGAAUGCAUCGGAAUCUACUUUUACGUGGGGGAUAACGUAGGGAAACUUACUCUAAUACCGCAUACGACCUACGGGUGAAAGCAGGGGAUCUUCGGGCCUUGCGCGAUUGUAUGAGCCGAUGUCGGAUUAGCUAGUUGGCGGGGUAAAGGCCCAACAAGGCGACGCUCCGUAGCUGGUCCGAGAGGAUGGAUAGGCACACGGGAACUGAGACACGGUCCAGACUCCUACGGGAAGCCGCAGUGGGGAAUACUGGAGGAUGGGGGCAAGCCUGAUCCAGCCAAACCGGCGGGAUGAAGAAGGCCCUCGGGUUGGUAAACCCUUUUGGUGGGAAAGAAAAGCAGCUGGUUAAUACCCCGCGGUUCUGACGGUACCCAAAGAAUAAGCCCCGGCUAACUUCGUG
rnacentral:rRNA from 1 species